UGAUUAUAGUAGUUGAAUUAGAAUCUGCGAUUUAAAUUGGAGUCGUCUGAAUAAACUUCAGAAUUAAACUUCAGAAUUAAAGAAAGAAAAGCUCACUUAAGUGGCCUCUUGACGGGACAUAAAGAUCCAAGGUUUGAGGUAUUAUGCAGUGAAUCUUUGACUAAAGAAUGAGUCUUUGGUAUUCCGGGAACUGUGAUAAGAAAUGGCAAUGGCAAUACAAGGGAGACAUCUUUUAGUAAGAAAGCCAUCAAACACACUGAUAUUUUUGUCUAGAUCAAGGGACGGUCCAGGGACAGUGCGGAUGACAUCAAAAUAUGUCAUAGGUGGAGAGAAAGAAAGAGUUUUAUGGUUCUUUCUUGGAUGCUUGAUAAGGUGAGAUAUUGUCAUGUAGCUCUAUGUUUUAGAUUGAUUUGGAUUCUGACUAAAGAUAAAUAUUCGAUAAAGUGAUAGGGAUAUAUUUGAUGAUUUGAUAAAGUUGAACUCUACACAAUCAUCAUAAACAACGUUUAUUUUUCAGUUUGUGCCGCUGAUUCAGUAACUGCCUC
rnacentral:lncRNA from 1 species